CGAAGGGGGGACGGAGAAGGCUAUGUCAGCCGGGCGACGGUUGUCCCGGUUUAAGCAUGUAGGCGGAGGUUCCAGGUAAAUCCGGUACCUUAUUAACGCUGAGGUGUGAUGACGAGGCACUACGGUGCUGAAGUGAUAAAUGCCCUGCUUCCAGGAAAAGCCUCUAAGCAUCAGGUAACACGAAAUCGUACCCCAAACCGACACAGGUGGUCAGGUAGAGAAUACCAAGGCGCUUGAGAGAACUCGGGUGAAGGAACUAGGCAAAAUGGUGCCGUAACUUCGGGAGAAGGCACGCUGAUGUGUAGGUGAAGCCCCUGCGGGCGGAGCUGAAAUCAGUCGAAGAUACCAGCUGGCUGCAACUGUUUAUUAAAAACACAGCACUGUGCAAACACGAAAGUGGACGUAUACGGUGU
rnacentral:rRNA from 1 species